CACGAUGUUUUGAUUUAUAUCAAUUAUAUAAAUCAAAACAUAAAAGUUAUUCCUGAUUAAUUUUUCGAAUUAUUUUAUAAUUAAAGGCGUUAAGAAACCUUUGGUGACCCCACAGUUUAAAUGUCUAUCGUAGGUACGUCGUGAACAGUGGUCGUUACAGACAAACGUUCACGUAAAUUGUCCCAGUCAAUGGAUGAAUUUAAUGUGUCAAUCAAUGGCCACAGCCACA
rnacentral:lncRNA from 1 species